AGAGUUUGAUCCUGGCUCAAGAUGAACGCUAGCGACAGGCUUAACACAUGCAAGUCGAGGGGCAGCGGGGAAGUAGCAAUACUUCCGCCGGCGACCGGCGCACGGGUGAGUAACACGUAUGGAACCUGCCCGUAGCAAGGGGAUAAGCGGAAGAAAUUCCGUCUAAUAUCGCGUAAUAACUCCGAGAGGCAUCUCCUGGGGUUUAAAGGGUAACACCGGCUACGGAUGGCCAUGCGGCGCAUUAGCUAGUUGGCGGGGUAACGGCCCACCAAGGCGACGAUGCGUAGGGGUUCUGAGAGGAAGGUCCCCCACACUGGUACUGAGACACGGACCAGACUCCUACGGGAGGCAGCAGUGAGGAAUAUUGGUCAAUGGGCGCGAGCCUGAACCAGCCAAGUCGCGUGAGGGAAGACGGUCCUAUGGAUUGUAAACCUCUUUUGUCGGGGAGCAAAAGACGCCACGUGUGGCGUUCCGAGAGUACCCGAAGAAAAAGCAUCGGCUAACUCCGUGCCAGCAGCCGCGGUAAUACGGAGGAUGCGAGCGUUAUCCGGAUUUAUUGGGUUUAAAGGGUGCGCAAGCGGAAGAUCAAGUCAGCGGUAAAAUUGAGAAGCUCAACCUCUUCGAGCCGUUGAAACUGGUUUUC
rnacentral:rRNA from 1 species